AAGAAAAAGCACAACAUCACCUACAGUCAAACACACAGGGAGAAGACAAUUGGACAGACAGUGUAACAUAUUUUAGUGGGAUUCUGGAAUUUAAAGUUCAGCAGCAAAAUCAGACCAUGGAGGACAAAAAUAACUACAGUGAUCUCAUCAUCUCAACCACAACAACUGAUACGUUUCACUAUUACCCUGAAACUAAAAGACCUUUUAAUCCACCCUAUGAUUAUUUUACUGUAAUCAGACUGUCCAUCUUCUUCAUCACUGGUGUGUGUGUCGGGCUGCCGUGUCUGAUUUGGGCUUUUUAUUUUGUGCACCUUCAGAGAAAGACCAGAGGCCGGAUCUCAGCCUUCAUCAUCCUCCUCCUCCUCAGUGACCUGCUUCAACUCCUCCUGUAUCCAUAUAUAGUAUAUACACUUCUUUCUUUUCGUUUUCCCUUUGGCAUUGACACGUUUAUUUCAGCGACUAUUUAUUGGUAUCUGAAAAUUUGUAGCCUUCACCUACAACAGCUGGUGGCUCUGGAGGGGGUUCUGACACUGAAAUAUCCACAGAUCUCUGCUCAUAUUUUCUCACCCCCCUGUUACAUCAUAAUCUCCAUCAUUAUACUGCUUUUUCUUUUAACGUGUGUACUGUUAUUAGGUUUCAGAGGCUUUCAUAGUGCACAUUUUGGUUUUGCCAUAUUUCUGGCUCCUGCGUGUUUAUUGGUUGUCACAGGCAUAAUCACCUACAAAGCUCCGCCCACUCCUGCCAGCACACCUGCCACUGACAACAGACCAGGUGCAUUGUUGUUUCUUGUUACAAUGGUUACCAUGGUUGUGCUUUAUUUACCAUAUAUCCUGGUCUCCUAUAUUCAUAUUAUCUUCUUUCCUAUAAUGUCAUGGUACAUGAUGUCUUCUUGUCUGUUGAGUUUGACAGUGAUUUCAGAGCCUCUCCUGUGUGUGCUGGUCUGCAGAGAGAAUCUCAGCAUUCAGACAAAACAAACACACAUAGAGCUCAACUCUGAACAGACAGCAGUCUGAACUGAUUUCUGAACUAUCAUCCACUGCCUUGACUUGUAUUUGCUUCAUUGUUUGUACUUUUUAAAUGAACCUACAAACACACCUACAUCCUACUUUCCGAAACUGUUUAAUAAUCGACAUAAUGUCUCAAUGAGCAGUUGAGUGCUUGAAUGAUAAUUAAAAAUAUAUUAAAACUUG